AAUUUAUUUACAAAAAAAAAGAAAAAAAGAGUGUGUGUGUGUAUUGGUUAAAAGAUUAGUACACAUACAGACAUAAGUACAGUUCUGAGAUCAGAUUCAUAGUAGAAAUGGUGAGCUGUGUAGCGGCAAAGAGUUUUUUUCAGAAUUAGUUCAUAGAUUAUAGUCCAAUGUCCAUAUUCAGGGUGAAUCCAGUUUAGGACCGGAGAUCUCAGCCUUGUGGC